GUUAGCAUACCUCGGGCUUGGACUUGUAUUCUAAGCAUCUCUUAGUGAUCCUCAAUUUUUAGACGAACUGGUUGUUAUCAAACAUCUCUGUAUUAAGGAUACUUGAAAUCGCCUCUGGUAGAGGAAGGACGCCCUCAAGCAUGGGGUCCAUACUAAAGCUACAUGUAGUUGCAGCCAUCGUUGUGAUAGUGAGUGGAGUUCAAACAGUCAGAGUGUCAGCAUUACAUGGCGUACAUGAUGCCUGUCCUCAUGUGACUAUGUCAUGUCCUUCGAUCACUCUGGAGAGCGGUGAGACUGUAGAAUUGAUCCCGAAACCGAUGCAACCCGAUUUGGACUGGUUAAAAGCCAACCUCCCAGCAGGCCUGCCAAUUUCUGAUGAUGUCCGGCUUUACUUUUGCAGCGAACCAGCAUGCCUCUCAAACCCUUGUCUUCAUGGAGACACUUGCGAGG